GUAGGGAAUAUUGGGCAAUGGUCGGAAGACUGACCCAGCCAUGCCGCGUGCAGGAAGACGGCCCUCUGGGUUGUAAACUGCUUUUAUCUGGGAAGAAAAAGGCCAUGCGUGGCAAAUUGCCGGUACCAGAUGAAUAAGCACCGGCUAACUCCGUGCCAGCAGCCGCGGUAAUACGGAGGGUGCGAGCGUUGUCCGGAUUUAUUGGGUUUAAAGGGUGCGUAGGCGGCUGAUUAAGUCAGCGGUGAAAGACUUCGGCUUAACCGGAGCAGUGCCGUUUAUACUGGUUGGCUUGAGUGUCGGAGGGGUACAUGGAAUUGAUGGUGUAGCGGUGAAAUGCAUAGAUACCAUCAGGAACACCGAUAGCGAAGACAUUGUACUGGCCGACAACUGACGCUGAUGCACGAAAGUGUGGGGAUCGAACAGGAUUAGAAACCCCUGUAGUCC
rnacentral:rRNA from 1 species